rnacentral:rRNA from 1 species
UACGCAGGCAGCGAGCGUUGUUCGGAGUUACUGGGCGUAAAGGGUGUGUAGGCGGUUGUUUAAGUUUGGUGUGAAAUCUCCCGGCUCAACUGGGAGGGUGCGCCGAAUACUGAAUGACUAGAGUGCGGGAGAGGUGAGUGGAAUUCCUGGUGUAGCGGUGAAAUGCGUAGAUAUCCGGAAGAACACCGGAGGCGAAGGCGGCUUGCUGGGCUGCGGUCGUGACGCUGAGGCGCGAAAGCGUGGGGAGCGAACAGG